CAGUAGCCGCGGUAAUACGAAGGGUGCAAGCGUUAAUCGGAAUUACUGGGCGUAAAGCGUGCGUAGGCGGUUUGUUAAGUCAGAUGUGAAAUCCCCGAGCUUAACUUGGGAACUGCAUUUGAAACUGGCAAGCUAGAGUCUUGUAGAGGGGGGUAGAAUUCCAGGUGUAGCGGUGAAAUGCGUAGAGAUCUGGAGGAAUACCGGUGGCGAAGGCGGCCCCCUGGACAAAGACUGACGCUCAGGUGCGAAAGCGUGGGGAGCAAACAGGAUUAGAUACCCGGGUAGUCCCUGUCUCUUAUAC
rnacentral:rRNA from 1 species